AAGUCGAACGGCAGCACGGGAGCAAUCCUGGUGGCGAGUGGCGAACGGGUGAGUAAUACAUCGGAACGUGUCCUGGAGUGGGGGAUAGCCCGGCGAAAGCCGGAUUAAUACCGCAUACGCUCUGUGGAGGAAAGCGGGGGAUCUUUCGGGACCUCGCGCUCAAGGGGCGGCCGAUGGCAGAUUAGCUAGUUGGUGGGGUAAAGGCCUACCAAGGCGACGAUCUGUAGCUGGUCUGAGAGGACGACCAGCCACACUGGGACUGAGACACGGCCCAGACUCCUACGGGAGGCAGCAGUGGGGAAUUUUGGACAAUGGGCGCAAGCCUGAUCCAGCAAUGCCGCGUGUGUGAAGAAGGCCUUCGGGUUGUAAAGCACUUUUGUCCGGAAAGAAAACCUCUGGGUUAAUACCCCGGGGGGAUGACGGUACCGGAAGAAUAAGCACCGGCUAACUACGUGCCAGCAGCCGCGGUAAUACGUAGGGUGCGAGCGUUAAUCGGAAUUACUGGGCGUAAAGCGUGCGCAGGCGGUUCGUUAAGACAGAUGUGAAAUCCCCGGGCUUAACCUGGGAACUGCAUUUGUGACUGGCGGGCUAGAGUAUGGCAGAGGGGGGUAGAAUUCCACGUGUAGCAGUGAAAUGCGUAGAGAUGUGGAGGAAUACCGAUGGCGAAGGCAGCCCCCUGGGCCAAUACUGACGCUCAUGCACGAAAGCGUGGGGAGCAAACAGGAUUAGAUACCCUGGUAGUCCACGCCCUAAACGAUGUCAACUAGUUGUUGGGGAUUCAUUUCCUUAGUAACGUAGCUAACGCGUGAAGUUGACCGCCUGGGGAGUACGGCCC
rnacentral:rRNA from 1 species